rnacentral:misc_RNA from 1 species
GCGUGACAUGCGCGCACUUCAGGCGUCCGGCCACGGGUAAAAGUUGCAGCUCCCGCGGAUCGUCAUUCAUGACAUCGCCGGUGAGUUUUAACACGCUCUGGCGCAAUGUAAUGAGUUGCGCUCGCGCUUCGUUGGGAUCGUUUUGAUUGGCUACCCAUAAGUUUUCAUUACGGGAGAAAGGGUGGCGUUCGAGCGAAUGCGGAUGGUGAAAGCCGCGGGAGGUGCGCUGUAAUUCCAUAUCCAGCCCGCACUCUCCUUCGGUGGUCAACGCCACGCCAACCAUAUUUCCGGCGUAGGAGAUAGAAAAACCUGGCAGAUUUUUGUCACGAAACGCGGGUUUACCUUUCGCCUGAAUAA